GGCCGCUUUGCGGAUUUUACGCUUGACAUUGCCCUCCGUGCCCGGAGCAUACGGCUCACGCUCGUUUGUCAGGUAGCGAAGAAUGGCCCGGUAGCUUUCCUCGCUUGACAUCUCUGACGGCGGCUCCCUAAGGGCGCCUGUCAGUGGUGGGGGAGGAAGACAGCGCACUAGCUCCGGACGGAUGCAACAGCGGCGGCGGCACUGUAGGGAGGAAUGGCUGUAUCUGUGGUGAGUGCUCUUCGACGGCGCCCGCAGCGCGAAGGCAGAACCGACGAGUUGGUAACCAGGGGGAACUGCACUUCUCCAGCGCGCGGGAUCCGCUGGCGACUGACAAAAUGGCUGCUGCACCACCGGAAGUGACGUGAUCAAGGGCAGUGGGUGAGGGGACUGAGUCCUGAUUGGAGCGCACAGGCUUUCUGGAUUGAUGAAGCCAGCCGGGUGACGUCAGGACUGCGGGCGGACAUUUUGGAAGAGGGUAGGCCUUUCCUUCGAGACCGAAGACUGCUUUGAGCAGACAUCUUAAGUACUGGCAGUUUCCCUUUUCAUUUUUUCCUUCUUUCCCUUGCUCUGAGCACGUGUGGGAGUUGGUGGGCUGUUGAUUUCCCGUCGGAUAUACACCAAGGUGUGGAGGAGUCUGUUUUUUUUUUACCCCGAUUACCUUCUGAGACCCCCAACAACGUAAAAGCAUAAGAUUUUGAGGAUCUUAGUAAAAUAUAAGCCUAUAGAUAGCCCCAAGACCAAAGAUAGCCGCAUUCACAUGUAAAUUUAUUUUACAGGUAAACGUUUGAAAUCUGAGUCCUUCAGUGAUAAGAAUUAUAAUUUCCAGACUUAAAGUGUUGGCUCCAAAUCAGCCAUGGAACUGUCGGGAUUUUCCUCGAAUGACCGUCUAACAUAGGGGCAGUUUUCUAUAUUUGAAGGUAAUGAUGUUGGCAAUGAGUAGAUAGCACUCUUACAGCUUCAUUUGCAUGUAUUUUUACAUAAACCUGGGGGGGGGGGAUUCUCCAUUUUACACCCAACAUUUACCGAAUGCAUAAAAGACCAAGGCGACCUGAAAUGCAUCUUCCAGCGUACAGUGCGGGUCCUAUUUCACAUCUUUAGCGGGUAGGCCGGAGCAAUGGCCCAUGCCACCCAUCCGUUGGUUGAAUCUGCAGCGCAGACAAGACUACAGGCCCAGAACAUCCUACUCGACAACUGGGGUCUGGCAUUGACAGUACUUUGCUAGUUCCAGGUCAACCCUCCCCCUCUGCCCCCAGCCUGGAGUCUACAGUCGCUGGGUCAGGCUCUCUGACCCUGCGGAGACAUGUUAAGAGGUAAACAGGUGAAUGCACUGGGCUCAAAAAAUAGGAUGGCACCCAAUCUCUGCGGUACUUGCGGUUGACGUUGCGGGAAUUGACAGGUGGCUUAGAUACUUGAGGCAGCAUCCUUGAAUAAGAUUCUGGCUGUAGGUACCUGAGCUCCCAGACGUAUAUAGGAAAGACAUAACCACCAGACCAGGUAUUUACUUAGGGUCACUCGACCCAGACUGAGACAGCUGGGGAAAGGAAGAGGAAUUAGAAGGUAGAGAUGCGUCCUCUCCGCUCUUUGGAGUGGGCCACCCAAAGCAGAUACCCAAAUCAACCCUACAAGAACUGUGCUGGGCCAGCACCAUCACUCUUAUACUGUGAAAUCGACUUCCUUUAAAACUAAAUUUAAGGGGCACCUGCGUGGCUCAGUUGGUUAAGCAGCUGGUUUCGGUUCAUGACA
rnacentral:lncRNA from 1 species